GGUAGUGGUAAUAAAAGGUACAGGUGACACUUAUAUGGAACUGGUCACACCAUGGACCACAUCAUUUCUUGGUCUAAUUUUAAAAGAACUCAGAGUGAAGAAGUACAUAAACCCUCCCUGUAGAAAGCUAUUAUUUCCCAAAAUAUCUUCAAAUUUGCUUACAACCACUCCCUCCUUUUCCUUGGCAUCAGAUUAACUUAAAUAGGUUUUUGCUUUUUAAACUCAUUUAAUAAUGCUGUGCCAGUUGUAGUAAAUAGGUAUCAAAGAAUUUAAGUGAUAAUGAAGUUACACUUGAGAGUUUCAACAACAACAACAACAACAAAAUAAUACUGUGGAGGCCGGGGACUGAUUAGUAAAGUAU